rnacentral:rRNA from 1 species
CCUACGGGAGGCAGCAGUGGGGAAUAUUGGGCAAUGGGCGCAAGCCUGACCCAGCAACGCCGCGUGAAGGAAGAAGGCUUUCGGGUUGUAAACUUCUUUUAAGAGGGAAGAGCAGAAGACGGUACCUCUUGAAUAAGCCACGGCUAACUACGUGCCAGCAGCCGCGGUAAUACGUAGGUGGCAAGCGUUGUCCGGAGUUACUGGGUGUAAAGGGCGUGCAGCCGGGAAGACAAGUCAGGUGUGAAAGCCCGCGGCUCAACCGCGGAACUGCAUUUGAAACUGUUUUUCUUGAGUACCGGAGAGGUCAUCGGAAUGCCUUGUGUAGCGGUGAAAUGCGUAGAUAUAAGGAAGAACACCAGUGGCGAAGGCGGAUGACUGGACGGCAACUGACGGUGAGGCGCGAAAGCGUGGGGAGCAAACAGGAUUAGAUACCCCAGUAGUA